GGGGCAGCAUGACUGUAGCAAUACAGUUGAUGGCGACCGGCAAACGGGUGCGGAACACGUACACAACCUUCCUUCGAGCGGGGAAUAGCCCAGAGAAAUUUGGAUUAAUACCCCAUAGUAUAUUGGUUAGGCAUCUAAUUAAUAUUAAAGAUUUAUCACUUGAAGAUGGGUGUGCGGCUGAUUAGAUAGUUGGCGGGGUAACGGCCCACCAAGUCUGCGAUCAGUAACUGGUGUGAGAGCACGACCAGUCACACGGGCACUGAGACACGGGCCCGACUCCUACGGGAGGCAGCAGUAAGGAAUAUUGGUCAAUGGACGCAAGUCUGAACCAGCCAUGCCGCGUGGAGGAUGAAGGCCCUCUGGGUUGUAAACUUCUUUUAUCUGGGACGAAAAAGGGCCUUUCUAGGUCAACUGACGGUACCAGAGGAAUAAGCACCGGCUAACUCCGUGCCAGCAGCCGCG
rnacentral:rRNA from 1 species